GACGAACGCUGGCGGCGUGCCUAAUACAUGCAAGUCGAACGCAGUGGGGACGGGUGAGUAACACGUGGGUAACCUCCCAUCAGAGGGGAUAACACUUGGAAACAGGUGCUAAACCGAUACUGAUGGAUGGACCCGCGGUGCAUUAGCUAGUUGGGUAGGUAACGGCGCACCAAGGCCACGAUGCAUAGCCGAGCUGUGAGGGUGAUCGGCGACACUGGGACUGAUACACGGCCCAGACGCCUACGGGAGGCAGCAGUAGGGAAUCUUCGGCAAUUGACGAAAGUCUGACCGAGAAACGCCGAGUGAGUGAAGAAGGUUUUCGGAUCGUAAAACUCUGUUGUUAGAGAAUCGGUAUCUAACCAGAAAGCCACGGCUAACUACGGGCCAGCAGCCGCGGUAAUUC
rnacentral:rRNA from 1 species